AAUAGAACCUUCGAAGUCAACCAUGUAGACAAAUGAGAAAAUAUCCUUUGUCUGCAGAAGGCAGCUAUCUGACACUAACAUGGAGGUCUGACUUGGACAGCUGGCUAAAACUGAUAGUUCCCCUCCAUACAAC
ensembl:scaRNA small Cajal body-specific RNA 3